rnacentral:tRNA from 1 species
UUUAUCUUGGUGUAACGCACGUAAAAUUUUGGGUUUUAAGGAAGCUAUAGAUAAAU